CACUCCUCCUCGCUGCCUUUUCUUCUUCAUUUUUUCACUCCACACUGAAGUAAAACUAGGGUUUCUUCUCUCUACUGCCGCUCCUUCUAUUCUCUCCACUACUGCUCCAUCUCUUCACGGUGACCCUCUCUUUCUCUCAAAAGUCACCCACCCUUGUGGCCUUGUUUCUUCUUCUUCUUCUUCUUUCUUCUCUGUCAACUCUCCUUCAGAUUCAGCCUUAGGGAAGUCGCGUUCUUCUCAUUCCUUCGUCAAAUUCGGCCUUCGGGAUGUCAAAUUUCUUGCAAGGCCGCAGCUCCGUUUCAGUCCCGUUCUUCGGGUAUUUACGCAAGAGCAGCUACGGAGAAGAGUCUCUUUGUUUGGAUAUUGACGGUAAAGAUGUUUCUGAAGGAUGAUUCUCUAGUAAAUUCAAGAGAAAGGUCCUUUUGAUUGUAAAUGUUGCUUCAAGAUGUGGUUUGACAACUUCAAAUUACUCCGAGCUAUCACACUUGUAUGAGAAGUACAAGACUCAAGAAGAUUCACGUGAAGAUGGUCUUGUUCAGGAGAAAGACAAUCUUGUCAAAGUGAACCAGAAAUCUAAUGAAGGACAUGAUGACCAUAAUAUCAUUUCUUUCUAAUGCAUAAUCAAUGGCAGAGAAGGAUCGUCUCGGAGCACAUCAAUUUCCUGAAAAAAAGAUGAGUAUUAGUGAAUUACCAUAGUACUUUUGCAUGCCUAAUAGAAAAUGGACAAAUUUUAUGUUUUCCCCUAAAUUAUUAAACCAGUUUUAUUUUGCCCUUGAACUACAAAAUGAAGAUGUUUUGGCCCUUGUUAUUUUUGUUUAAAGUUGUGGUAUAAAAUAACUGUAUUUUACCAUAGUAGAUGAUAAAUUAUUUCAAGGAAUUAACUAGAUUUCUUUUUUCUUGCUUAAUGUGCAGCGUAGAGCCUUACAAGAGGAGAACACACGCCUCCUGAAAAAAGUGGGAUUUCAAAUUAGUCAUAUUAUAAUUUUGUGUAUCUCCAUGCAACAAUAUCUUUUUCAUGACUUGUGCAUUCAAAGUUUCAAGUUAAUCAUAUAUGUAUUGCUGGAGUUUGACACAGCGUAGAGCCCAGGCCCUCCUCCUAGGCCAGGCCCCCCUCCUAGGCCAGGCCCUCCCAGCCCAGGCCCCCA